rnacentral:rRNA from 1 species
CCUACGGGAGGCUGCAGUGGGGAAUAUUGCACAAUGGGGGAAACCCUGAUGCAGCGACGCCGCGUGAGUGAAGAAGUAUUUCGGUACGUAAAGCUCUAUCAGCAGGGAAGAAAAUGACGGUACCUGACUAAGAAGCCCAGGCUAACUACGUGCCAGCAGCCGCGGUAAUACGUAGGGGGCAAGCGUUAUCCGGAUUUACUGGGUGUAAAGGGAGCGUAGACGGCAGCGCAAGUCUGGAGUGAAAUCCCAUGGCUUAACCAUGGAACUGCUUUGGAAACUGUGCAGCUAGAGUGCAGGAGAGGUAAGCGGAAUUCCUAGUGGAGCGGUGAAAUGCGUAGAUAUUAGGAGGAACACCAGUGGCGAAGGCGGCUUACUGGACUGUAACUGACGUUGAGGCUCGAAAGCGUGGGGAGCAAACAGGAUUAGAUACCCCUGUAGUC